rnacentral:lncRNA from 1 species
AUAAUAAUAAAUCUUAAAUAGUGUGAUUUUGAAUAAAUGUGUGCCACUUCAGAUUUUAAGAUCUAAGGUUCAGAUUAUAGAUGCCUCCCUGUUACUUUCAGUUUGAACAUGUUGCUUUUUCUCUUCCCUCAGCUUCUUUGAAGAUGGAAGGGUUGAGGGAAUACGUGGCCAAAUAUUAUUUCCAUCCCUCUAUCAAUUCUCUGACUUUUGACCUGGUGUUUCUAAGCAUACCUGAGAUGAGAGUUAAUUUUCCUACCAAAACUGUGCUGUCAGUUGGGUCUAAUUGCUUAGCUGCACGAGAAAAUGUUCCUGGAAUCUAAUGAUGUCAUGUCCUGAGAAGAUGUGAAAUAUGAGCUUAAAUUUAUUUCUCCAUAACUUAUUCAAGGUUUUUGUUUUUUUCAGUGUUAUGGCAGUAACAUCAGCUGAGAGAAACUCUGUCUUGCCAUUUGUGGUGUCCCUAUGUGUGAAGCAAGAUCAAAAAUACAGUGCUGGGAACAAAGGCACCCAAACCUUGGACUGUUUGCAAGAGGAAACAGAUACAAUUUGUGCCAGAGGUUUGGCAGCUGGGUUUACUCAGAGCUUCAGGACUACUGGACUGAAAUGUUUUCAGCUCCUAAAAUUGGCCACAGGUGGAACUGUUGACUCCAAGCACCCUUUCACCUCUGCCCCAGUGCUGAGCAUGUUGCCUCCACAGCCCACCCAGGGCCUGCUGGCCUGAAGAAAAGAUUGACAUAAG